rnacentral:rRNA from 1 species
UACGUAGGGGGCAAGCGUUGUCCGGAAUUAUUGGGCGUAAAGCGCGCGCAGGCGGUCAUUUAAGUCUGGUGUUUAAUCCUAGGGCUCAACCCUAGGUCGCACUGGAAACUGGGUGACUUGAGUACAGAAGAGGAAAGUGGAAUUCCACGUGUAGCGGUGAAAUGCGUAGAGAUGUGGAGGAACACCCGUGGCGAAGGCGGCUAACUGGUCCAUAACUGACGCUGAGGUGCGAAAGCGUGGGGAGCAAACAGG